UACGUAGGUGGCGAGCGUUGUCCGGAUUUAUUGGGCGUAAAGGGAACGCAGGCGGUCUUUUAAGUCUGAUGUGAAAGCCUUCGGCUUAACCGAAGUAGUGCAUUGGAAACUGGAAGACUUGAGUGCAGAAGAGGAGAGUGGAACUCCAUGUGUAGCGGUGAAAUGCUUAGAUAUCACGAAGAACUCCGAUUGCGAAGGCAGCUUACCGGAGCGCAACUGACGCUGAGGCUCGAAAGUGUGGGUAGCAAACAGG
rnacentral:rRNA from 1 species